rnacentral:rRNA from 1 species
UACGUAGUCAGCGAGCGUUGUUCGGAAUUACUGGGCGUAAAGAGUGUGUAGGCGGUGCUCUAAGUUCGGUGUGAAAUCUCCCGGCUUAACUGGGAGGGUGCGCCGGAAACUGGAGUGCUCGAGCGUGGGAGAGGAAAGCGGAAUUCCUGGUGUAGCGGUGAAAUGCGUAGAUAUCAGGAGGAACACCUGCGGUGUAGACGGCUUUCUGGACCAUUGCUGACGCUGAGACACGAAAGCGUGGGUAGCAAACAGG